GACGAACGCCGGCGGCGUGCUUAACACAUGCAAGUCGAACGAUGAACCCGGAGCUUGCUCCGGUGGAUUAGUGGCGAACGGGUGAGUAACACGUGAGUAACCUGCCCUUGACUCUGGGAUAACUGCGGGAAACUGUAGCUAAUACCGGAUACGACCCUCGGCGGCAUCGCCAGGGGGUGGAAAGAAUUUCGGUCAAGGAUGGACUCGCGGCCUAUCAGCUAGUUGGUGAGGUAACGGCUCACCAAGGCGACGACGGGUAGCCGGCCUGAGCGGGUGACGGGCCACACUGGGACGGAGACACGGCCCAGACUCCUACGGGAGGCAGCAGUGGGGAAUCUUGAGCAAUGCGCGAAAGCGUGACGCAGCAACACCGCGUGAGGGAAGACGGCCUUAGGGUUGUAAACCUCUUUCAGUUGGGACGAAGGUUCGACGGUGAAUAGCCGGCCGGACUGACGGUACCUUCAGAAGAAGCUCCGGCUAAC
rnacentral:rRNA from 1 species